AACUUCAAAUUUUGAAAUUCGGUGAAACAAAUGAGAAAGACUUUUAGUUACAAGAGUAUAUCAUUGACUUAUUUACAAGUAUAUCAUUUGUUUUUACAAGUAUAACAAAUCAAUGAAUAUACAAGUACAUACAUAUGUUUAAAGUAUCUGAUAUCAUGAGGGAAAUUGUUUAGUAUCUCCGAUUCCAGUCAAACUUCUUGUGAAGUUUAGGAUAUACUCGAUUUUGAUGAUAUAUGCCAUCAUCUUUAGCAAUAUAGCUAUAUGUGUCUCCGUGAAGCUCUCUAUUGUCCUCCACAUAGGCAUCAAACUUUGACGAGAUCUUAUAAUCAGGUCCUUUGCUCAGGGUGCACCAGAAAAGCGUGUUUCCCAUAAAGUUAUCGUGGAAACUGAAAUAGUAGAUUCCCUCCUGUUUCAGAUAGUGGACACCCAUAUCGUUGUUCCCUGAUUUACAAUGUACCUUGAGCCAUUUCUUGUAACGAAGUCCGUUCACGAACAAGAGUGUUGUAUUGGCCCGUUGAAAUAUAUUUGCACCUACAUUGCCGAUCAUGCAAAGGGUAAGAACAAAUAGAAAGAAUGAAGUAUUUUUCAUUUUUUUUUCUUUCUUUCUAGAUGUUUUAGAUAUAUAUUUAUGUAUUGUUAAAACUCGUGUUUGUGUUUUUGGUGUUAUAUAUACACAUAGUAUUGCUAUUUUUGAGUUUUUACAUUAUCUUCUUACUCUAUUAUUGGAAGUUUUCUAUUAAUGAUUUUAUCUAGUCGUUUCGAAAAAAUAGAUUGAUCCCAUCAAGUUUUCAAGAUUUUUUCCAAUGGCCUCCUCCCUAUUUAGGUAUGUUCCUCUCUUGUUGGUCAAGUUUGUUUUAUAGACUCUCGUUUUAAUCGAGUUAAGUUUAAUACAAUGUAGAAACAUUAAACUAGAUUGUACGAAUAUAGAUAAUAAUGGAAACAUAAUAAUAUAAGCAUGGAGAAAAUAUAGAAAUUAAAUGGGAUGAUGAGAGACGAUAUAACAAUAGGUAAGAGAAACAUCAAAAUGGUAUAGAAGCAAGCACACCAACAAAAUAGCCCUUUACAAGAAGAAAAAAAAAAUUGAACAAUAGUUCGUGAUGGUGGUCGUUGUAGAGUAUUUCACUUCUCAGAUUAUGUUAACGUGAAUAAAGACAGACUAUCGAUCACUAUUCUUCUAGUUCUCCGAAGCCUUGUCUCGAGCUGCAAAGAUGAUGCAGAAAUCAUCUAAAAAUGAAAGUUAUAAGUAGAUUAUAUUAUCCCAUUCCCAUAUCAAAUAUUGUUUUGACAAUCUUUUUUUUAACACUGAUAUCAUCUCUACUUUCUUGUGUGUGUUUUUGGGUUUAUGUUAUGACGUUAUUAUUUAAUUUGUCUUAGACUAUUUCUAAUGUAUUUUGCUAUAUUCUCUUCUAAAAUAGAGAAUCUCUAUAAUAAAGAUGAAAUUUGCUUCAAUGUAUUCUUCUAAUCUUCAAAAUAUAGAAUAAAGAAUAGAAAUUGCUAUUUCUUCCUCUAAAUAUAGAAAAAAAAUACUAGCAAUUUCUAUUUUAAAAGAAGAAAUAGCCGUGGAUUGAAGUGAAAUUAUUCUAAAUGCUAGAUGCUCUUAAGAGAAUCUGAAAACGGUAAAAAAGACUACCACAUGCAUAUACCUGACUAUAUUUAAAAUUUAUAAAUAGUAUUCAUUGCAUGUAACUUAGAGCUUAUUAAUAAAUCUGGGUUGGAAUUGUAUGUUAAGUGUUUGGAGAUUGAUUUAGUUCGCAUAUGCUAAAUUGGCUUGUUAAGGGUUUUGAGAUCAUUUCGCGUCACGAUCUAAUGAAGAAACGAUAGAAAAAUUAUAACUUUUAGAAAAUAUAUACUGAAUAACACCAAAGUUUAAUUUAUAAAUUUUAAAUACAAUGAAACAAAUAAGAACAACUUUAACAAGUAUAUCAUUUAUACAUUUACAAGUAUAUCACUGGUUUUUACAAGUAUAACAAAUAAAUGGUUUUAAUAUAUAAGUACAUAUAUUGAAAACAUCUGAUAACACGGGAGAUUUAGUUUGUGAUCUCUAUUUCCAGUCAAACUUCUUGUGAAGUUUAAAUUCCACAAGAUUACUGUGAUAGAUGCCAUCAUCUUUAGCAAGAUAGUUAUAUGACUUUCCGUGAGCCUUAUCAUUGUUCUGUUUAUAGGCGUCAAACCUAGAAGAGACCUUAUAAUCAGGUCCUUUGCUCAGGGUACACCAGAUAAGCGUACCCCCGAAAACGUUGUCGUGGACACUGAAUGUGUAAUCGAUUCCACCCGGUUUCAGAUAGUGGACACCCAUAUCGUCGUUCCCUGAUUUACAAUGUACUUUGAGCCAUUUAUUAACUCCAAUAUCCAAAUCCCUGUAAUUCAAAUACGUGUGUCUAGGGUUCUUGGUCACAAAAGGAGCCAUGUAGCUAUAAAAGCUUUUCGCCUUCUCCAAGAAACUGGUCUCAGCUUCAGGCCCCGGAUCUUUCCAGUUCAUCGAGUGCUGCACCUUGUAAAGCUUGGUCCUAUGCGGGAAAGGAGUCUUCGUCGUAGCCACCUCGCUCACCUUCCCACCGUAAGGGUUAAACACAAGACCAAUCUUCCCAACCUCGAUCAUCUUCUUCAUCAAGUAAUCUAACCCUUCUUUAGUAAUCUCCUUCUCCACGAAAUCUGACUUCCUCUUCCCGUAAGACGCCGUAUCCAAGUUACGCUCGAGGAGCACCUCGGGUUUAACCAGCGUAGCGUUGUCGUGGUUGUCCCACCACAGCACGGACUGUAUCCACGUGAGCUCCGUGCAGUUCUCUUGCUUUAAACCAAGCUCGGGGAAGUCUUUGUUUAACAAAGACAUAACCUCGCUCGACUUGCCGAGAAACAAGGCCAAGACCGAGGCGCGAACGGUCUGCAUCUUGUUUCUCGUCACGGGCUGUAAUAACACCCUCAUGAAGAGACCAGGAUCGGUUUUCGGAGCAACGAACUGCCAUUUAUGCACCAUCUCGACCGCGUUCUCGUCCAAGUUCUUCUGGACCCUGAAGACCGUAACGGUAUCGGGGACGGGGACCAGCUUGAUCUUGAAACCCAAGAUCACGCCGAAACUCGCCCCGCCUCCUCCGUUAAUAGCCCAGAAGAGAUCUUCUCCCAUCCCUUUACGGUCAAGAACGCGCCCGUUAACGUCCACGAUCUUCGCGUCCGUGACGUAGUCGACGGAGAGACCGUACUUUCUGAUCAUGUUUCCGUACCCGCCGCCGCUAAUGUGCCCUCCGGCGCCGACGGUGGGACAGACUCCGGCGGGGAAGCCGUGCGUUUUGGUCUUCUCCCAUAUACGGUAGUAGACUUCGCCGAGCGUGACGCCGGCUCCGAUCCAGGCGGUUUCUCCCUCGACGGUGAUGUCGCGGAAGCUCGACAUGUCGAGGAGGAAGAAGGGGAGGUUGGAUACGUACGAGACGCCUUCGUAGUCGUGCCCGCCGCUUCUAGUUUUCAGCUGGAAUUUUAGCGUUUUGGUGCAGACUACUGCGGCUUGGACGUGGGCCUCGGUGCGCGCGACGAUCACGAUCGCGGGUUUGGGAGACGCGGUGGUGUUGAAACGCGCGUUUCGGAUGUAGUUGCGUAGGGCGGGGGUGUAACCGGCUGCGGUUUGCGGGAAAACGACGUCGGCUAAGGUGUUGGGAAGAGCGCGCGUUUGGGUUGUGAAGCAUUGGAGGAAGUUUUGGUAGAUUGUUGCGUCUGGAGGAGUUGCGGUUGUAAGAGUCGUGGAGACCAAGAAGACAAAAGUCAAACAAAGGAGCUUCAUGUUUGUUGAUUGAAUGAAUUGUUGUUGAUGUUGUUCUGCGUUAUAUAUAUACUACAUAGAUUCUUGAAGUUUUACAUAGAUUCUUGAAUUUUUAGCUAUAUUCUUGGCUUUGGCUAAUAUUAGGAUUCGCUUGUAAUAGUAGACUAUUACUAAUAGUUAAGGUUUUUUCUUAUUUCUUUCUUUGUUUUCUGCGGUUGUUCUGAAUUUUUGUAUAAUCAAUUUUUUUUUUUGUGCUAAUUUGAAGAAUGUAUUUAUAGUUGAAAACAUCUAUGAUGGUUGUAUCAACUUGUGUUUGUAUUUGUUACAUUUUGAUUUUAAAAAAUGAAAACAAAAUAAGGCCAUAUCUUUGAACUUUGAAUAUAACUCAACCAAAACAGUGACUCUUACUUUUUGGGUAAAUCAGUGAAUUCGCUGAAGAAGCAUAAGUUCAUAGAUUUUUUUUCUUUUCACAGAUUAUGUUAACAUGAAUAAAGAAAACCGACCACUAUUCUUCUAGUUUUCCGAAGCCUUGCUUGAGCUUCAACUAAUGAUGCAGAGAUCAUCUAAAAUGUAGUAUUAUAUCCUUAAUGUUUUUUUUUUUGCUAGGUUUUUUUUCUUCUUCCAAGUAAAUAUUCACGUAUCAUUUUAUGUGUGUAUACAUGGAAUUGAUUAAAAAAGAAACUGCAGUAAACAAUACAUAUCGGCCUUCUAAUGUCGAAACAAUACAUAUCGGCAUUCCAACCCAUGAUAUUAGGGUUUUGAGAUUUAGGUUUGUUAAUUUUGUAUGGUAAGUAUUUGGAGACUAAUUUAGUUUGCAUGUCUACAUAAGCUCGAUUGGCAUGUUUAGGGUUUAGAGAUCAUAUCGCGUCAAUGGCAUUCAUCAGAAACCAUAAAAUAUGAAUUUUAGAAACCCAUGUGAUUAAAAUCAAAUUAUAUUUUUGAACAACACCAAAGUUUAACUUCAAAUUUUGAAAUUCGGUGAAACAAAUGAGAAAGACUUUUAGUUACAAGAGUAUAUCAUUGACUUAUUUACAAGUAUAUCAUUUGUUUUUACAAGUAUAACAAAUCAAUGAAUAUACAAGUACAUACAUAUGUUUAAAGUAUCUGAUAUCAUGAGGGAAAUUGUUUAGUAUCUCCGAUUCCAGUCAAACUUCUUGUGAAGUUUAGGAUAUACUCGAUUUUGAUGAUAUAUGCCAUCAUCUUUAGCAAUAUAGCUAUAUGUGUCUCCGUGAAGCUCUCUAUUGUCCUCCACAUAGGCAUCAAACUUUGACGAGAUCUUAUAAUCAGGUCCUUUGCUCAGGGUGCACCAGAAAAGCGUGUUUCCCAUAAAGUUAUCGUGGAAACUGAAAUAGUAGAUUCCCUCCUGUUUCAGAUAGUGGACACCCAUAUCGUUGUUCCCUGAUUUACAAUGUACCUUGAGCCAUUUCUUGUAACGAAGUCCGUUCACGAACAAGAGUGUUGUAUUGGCCCGUUGAAAUAUAUUUGCACCUACAUUGCCGAUCAUGCAAAGGGUAAGAACAAAUAGAAAGAAUGAAGUAUUUUUCAUUUUUUUUUCUUUCUUUCUAGAUGUUUUAGAUAUAUAUUU
rnacentral:lncRNA from 1 species